rnacentral:rRNA from 1 species
UAACGCGUGGGUAACCUGCCUUAUACAGGGGGAUAACAGUUAGAAACGACUGCUAAUACCGCAUAACACAUAGGUGUCGCAUGGCAUUUAUGUCAAAGAUUUAUCGCUGAAAGAUGGCCUCGCGUCUGAUUAGCUAGUUGGUGAGGUAACGGCUCACCAAGGCGACGAUCAGUAGCCGGACUGAGAGGUUGGCCGGCCACAUUGGGACUGAGAUACGGCCCAGACUCCUACGGAAGGCAGCAG